GACGAACGCUGGCGGCGUGCUUAACACAUGCAAGUCGAACGGAAAGGCCCUGCUUUUGUGGGGUGCUCGAGUGGCGAACGGGUGAGCAACACGUGAGUAACCUGCCCUUGACUUUGGGAUAACUUCAGGAAACUGGGGCUAAUACCGGAUAGGAGCUCCUGCUGCAUGGUGGGGGUUGGAAAGUUUCGGCGGUUGGGGAUGGACUCGCGGCUUAUCAGCUUGUUGGUGGGGUAGUGGCUUACCAAGGCUUUGACGGGUAGCCGGCCUGAGAGGGUGACCGGCCACAUUGGGACUGAGAUACGGCCCAGACUCCUACGGGAGGCAGCAGUGGGGAAUAUUGCACAAUGGGCGGAAGCCUGAGGCAGCAACGCCGCGUGCGGGAUGACGGCCUUCGGGUUGUAAACCGCUUUCGCCUGUGACGAAGCGUGAGUGACGGUAAUGGGUAAAGAAGCACCGGCUAACUACGUG
rnacentral:rRNA from 1 species